GAGGGGCAGACACAGAAUCCGAAGCAGGCUCCAGGCUCCGAGCUGUCAGCACAGACCGCGACGCGGGGCUCGAACUCACGAACUGUGAGAUCAUGACCUGAGCCGACGUCCGACACUUAACAAACUGAGCCACCCAGGCGCCCCUGCGAUUAAAGUUCUUUAAAGAAAGCCAAGCACGGAGUUGAACUUCGGGGUCGAAGCAGGUUGGAAGCGUGCCGUGCCACUGGGCCCCACUACAGAUGUCGGGAAUCUAAACAGGAUGGACCCUGAUUGAUUUGAUUUUUAAGUUGAUUUAUUUAUUUAUUUUGAGAGACAGCAAGAGCCCGCACGCGGGAAGGAGCAGAGAGAGAGAUUCCCAAGCAGGCCCCAUGCUCCACCACGGGGCUCAAUCUCACGACUGAGAUCAUGACCUGAGCCGGAAUCAGGAGUGGGAUGUUCAACCAACUGAGCCACCCAGAAUGAUUAGAAUUACAGUUCAUCUUGAAGUUGUAGGUCCAUCCGACUGCUGAUGGAAUUUGCCUGGACAGGCUGCCAUACCGUGAGGAAGCCCAAACCGCAGGGAGAGGACACGCCACAGGGAGAGGACACGUGUCGUGACGCCGGUUGGCAGCCCCAGCAGAGAUUCGAGGCAGAAGCCAGUGCCAGCCACCAGAUGUGAGUGAGGAAGCCUUUCAGGUGAGCCCAGCCCCAGCCAGUUUCUGCAAUUGCAUUAGAUACCUUGAACAAGAACCAGCCCCAGAACCGUGAAAGAAUAACAAUUGUUGCCUUUUACCGCUAAGUUUGGAGUUGUUACACAGCACUGUAUAACCAGAACAACUUGCAUUAACUGAUUUAGUCCUUCCAACAACCCUAGGAGAGGGAAUGGCUGGGCAACGUUCCCAGAGUUACAGCAUGAGUAAGUGGUAGAACUGGGAUGUGACCCCUGGUAGACGUACCACAGAGUCAGGGUCAUAGCCCUCAGUCUCUGUGGCCAAUAUAUCUUGAUUCCCUGCCCGGCACUCCUUUCCCUUCCGGUUCCAGCACCUGAUUUUCCUUUGGGACCACUCCUCCCCCAUCCUCAGUCCAUACGGUUCAGAUAGAACUGAGCCCACCUUGGGCCUUCAGGCACAAGCCCGUGACCCAUUAUCAGGCCACCUUUGGGCACCACGAUUGGUUUGGUGAUGGGCUCAUAAUGAAACUGGAUCACGGAGUGCCAGCCCUGGAAACUUUGCUGGUUUUACAGAGAAAUAGAAAGAGACCCACUGGAAGGGUGCCUGGAUGGCUCCGUUGGUUAAGCAUCUGACUUCAGCUCAGGUCAUGAUCUCACAGCUUGUGGGUUCGAGCCCCCUGUCGGGCUCUGUGCUGACAGCUCAGAGCCUGGAGCCUGUUUCAGGUUCUGUGUCUCCGUCUCUCUCUGCCCCUUUCCUGCUUGUGCUCUGUCUCUCUCU